CUGUGGGGUGAUAGCACGUUAAAUUCACCAAUUUUCAAUGGAUCACUAAAGUUAAGUAAUGUUGCGUGUGUUUGGUAUCCGAAUGGGUGACCAUUUUCUUAUCCUGUCCUCCUUCUC
rnacentral:rRNA from 1 species